AUUGAACGCUGGCGGCAGGCUUAACACCUGCAAGUCGAGCGAGCGGCGGACGGGUGAGUAAUGUCUGGGAAACUGCCUGAUGGAGGGGGAUAACUACUGGAAACGGUAGCUAAUACCGCAUACCAUCAGAUGUGCCCAGAUGGGAUUAGCUAGUAGGUGUGGUAAUGGCACACCUAGGCGACGAUCCCUCACUGGUCUGAGAGGAUGACCAGCCACACUGGAACUGAGACACGGUCCAGACUCUUACGGGAGGCAGAAGUGGGGAAGAGUGCACAAUGGGAGCAAGCCUGAUGCAGCCAUGCCGCGUGUAUGAGGAAGGCCUUAGGGUUGUAAAGUACUUUCAGUCGGGAGGCGUUACCGACAGAAGAAGCACCGGCUAACUCCGUGCCAGCAGCCGCGGUAAUUC
rnacentral:rRNA from 1 species